CACCGCCCGUCAUACUAUGGAAGCUGGCCAUGCCCGAAGUCAUUGCCUUAACCGCAAGAAAGGGGAUACCGAAGGCAGGGCUAGUGACUAGAGUGAAGUCAUAACAUGGUAGCCAUACUAGAAGGUGCGGCUG
rnacentral:ncRNA from 1 species